rnacentral:SRP_RNA from 1 species
GCCAGGUGUGGUGACUCGUGCCUGCAGUCCCAGCCACUCCGGAGGCUGAGACAGGAGGAGGAUUGCUUGACCCCAGGAGUUCUGGGCUGCAGUGUGCAGUGCUGAUUGGGUGUCCACACUAAGUUCAGCAUCAAUAUGAUGACCUCCUGGAAGUGGGGGACCACCAAGUUGCCUAAUGAGAAGUAAACCAACCCAGGUUGCAAAUGGAGCAGGUCAAAACUCCCAUGUUGAUCAGUAGUAGGAUUGUGAACAGCCUGUGAAUAGCCACUAUCCUCCAGCCUGGGCAACACAGCAAGACUCUUGUCUCA